rnacentral:rRNA from 1 species
AUUGAACGCUGGCGGCAGGCCUAACACAUGCAAGUCGAGCGGUAGAGAGGAGCUUGCUUCUCUUGAGAGCGGCGGACGGGUGAGUAAUGCCUAGGAAUCUGCCUAGUGGUGGGGGAUAACGUUCGGAAACGGACGCUAAUACCGCAUACGUCCUACGGGAGAAAGCGGGGGAUCUUCGGACCUUGCGCCAUUAGAUGAGCCUAGGUCGGAUUAGCUAGUUGGUGAGGUAAUGGCUCACCAAGGCGACGAUCCGUAACUGGUCUGAGAGGAUGAUCAGUCACACUGGAACUGAGACAUGGUCCAGACUCCUACGGGAGGCAGCAGUGGGGAAUAUUGGACAAUGGGCGAAAGCCUGAUCCAGCCAUGCCGCGUGUGUGAAGAAGGUCUUCGGAUUGUAAAGCACUUUAAGUUGGGAGGAAGGGUAGUAACCUAAUACGUUGCUACUUUGACGUUACCGACAGAAUAAGCACCGGCUAACUUCGUGCCAGCCGCCGCCGUAA